rnacentral:rRNA from 1 species
UACGGGGGGGGCAAGCGUUGUUCGGAAUUACUGGGCGUAAAGGGUUCGUAGGUGGCCAACUAAGUCAGACGUGAAAUCCCUCAGCUUAACUGGGGAACUGCGUCUGAUACUGGUUGGCUUGAGUGCAGGAGAGGAACGCGGAAUUCCAGGUGUAGCGGUGAAAUGCGUAGAUAUCUGGAGGAACACCGGUGGCGAAGGCGGCAUCCUGGACCAACAUUGACGCUGAGGAGCGAAAGCUAGGGGAGCAAACGGG